AGAGGAAGUUUUCGGAUGGAAUCGGCGUAACUUAGUGGCGGACGGGUGAGUAACGCGUGGGAAACCUGCCCUGUACCGGGGGAUAACACUUAGAAAUAGGUGCUAAUACCGCAUAAGCGCACAGCUUCACAUGAGGCAGUGUGAAAAACUCCGGUGGUACAGGAUGGUCCCGCGUCUGAUUAGCCAGUUGGCAGGGUAACGGCCUACCAAAGCGACGAUCAGUAGCCGGCCUGAGAGGGUGAACGGCCACAUUGGGACUGAGACACGGCCCAAACUCCUACGGGAGGCAGCAGUGGGGAAUAUUGCACAAUGGGGGAAACCCUGAUGCAGCGACGCCGCGUGAGUGAAGAAGUAUUUCGGUAUGUAAAGCUCUAUCAGCAGGGAAGAAAAUGACGGUACCUGACUAAGAAGCCCCGGCUAACUACGUGCCAGCAGCCGCGGUAAUACGUAGGGGGCAAGCGUUAUCCGGAUUUACUGGGUGUAAAGGGAGCGUAGACGGCAUGACAAGCCAGAUGUGAAAACCCAGGGCUCAACCCUGGGACUGCAUUUGGAACUGCCAGGCUGGAGUGCAGGAGAGGUAAGCGGAAUUCCUAGUGUAGCGGUGAAAUGCGUAGAUAUUAGGAGGAACACCAGUGGCGAAGGCGGCUUACUGGACUGUAACUGACGUUGAGGCUCGAAAGCGUGGGGAGCAAACAGGAUUAGAUACCCUGGUAGUCCACGCGGUAAACGAUGAUUGCUAGGUGUAG
rnacentral:rRNA from 1 species